GGCUCUGUGGCGCAAUGGAUAGCGCAUUGGACUUCUAGACUGUGAGCUGAGCCAUUCAAAGGUUGAGGGAUCGAGUCCCACCAGAGUUG
rfam:Danio rerio chromosome 4, GRCz11 reference primary assembly.